GUCUGUGUGCAGCUCUGUGCGUAUUUCCAACGUAAACCAGAGGGACUAAAAUACCUGUCUGGGCUGCCCAGUGAGGCCGCUUCUGCCAGGGUAGUUCAAAAUCUAGUUUGCAUUUCUUCGAAGGAGCCCAGAACACAAAUAAAUAAAUAAAUAUAAUCCCUCUUUGCACUGUGAUACCGUAACGGAAAGGACAGCGAGGGCAAGCUUGUCAGUGUAGCGCAACAUCAGAGCAGCUGAGGAGCUCCCAACUCCGCUAGGCUCUGCUCUCGCUCACUCAGAACACUCGCUGCUGUUCCCCAGUUGCCCUUGGCACUUCAGAAGAGGACCGCUCGCGUUUGACGCCGGAGCUCUCCGUCCGGGAGAGAACAAUGUGCUCCCACCGCCUCUGGAGCUCUGCGGCUGCCCCCGCACACGCGGUGGCUCCGGCGCGGAGCGCCCCGCUCGGAAGGAGCCGCUCGGGCCAUUGUCUGAAGUGGGUUUCAGCCCAUGGAGAAAAGGGGGAAAAAAUCUCAGCAGCCCGGCUUGGUGUUGCACGGGGAAUGAGCUGACAAAAUAUUAUAGUAUGUUUCCUCGAAAUGCGUGCUGAGAGGAGAGAACUGUGGUGUGCUCCUGAGAGAGAGGUGGUGGUGUUCUUUUUCCUUCUUUCCUUCUUUCUUUCUUCUUCUUCUUCUUCUUUCUUUCUUUCUUUCUCUUUCUUUCUUUCUUUCUUUCUUUCUCUCUUUCUUUCUUUCUUUCUUUCUUUCUUUCUUUCUUUCUUUCUUUCUUUCUUUCUUUCUUUCUUUCUUUCUUUCUUUCUUUCUUUCUUUCUUUCUUUCUUUCUUUCUUUCUUUCUUUCCCUCUUUCCCUCUUUCCCUCUUUCCCUCUUUCCCUCUUUCCCUCUUUCCCUCUUUCCCUCUUUCCCUCUUUCCCUCUUUCCUUCUUCUUUUCUUCUUAGAAGAUUGGGAUCGCCUUUGUAAGCCUUUCUUUUGAUCCCACAAAGAGAAUGCAAUAUGCAUAUAUGUAUUUGCUCUCCAUACAAACAACGCGAGAGACUGUACGACGGGAUAUACGGCCGGUUGGUCCUCAUAAUGCUUAGUUUUGCUGUAAUUAAUUGAAAACAGUUAUUAGGUCGUCAUUGGCAAUAGCGUAAAUAAUUGCAGCAGAUUUUUACUUAAAAUUGACCGGUCACGGAGUGAUAGAUCGAUUCGAGGUAUAAAAAUGAUGUAUCAAAACAUCAAUGUCGAUUAUUUGAAAUAUUGUAGUCGAAUCUUUUUAUUGCUUCAUCGGUUAAGUGUCUGAAAGUGCUGUGUUCCAACAUAUAUUUAUGUUGUCAAUACUGUCAAAACUGUCAGUUUUAUUACACCGGAUUUGUAAUACAUUUCGGAUUUGCUCAUUUACAUAAAAUGGCCACCCCGGGUACCCCCCCUUCUCCCCUCUCUGGAAAUCUCUGUCAAUGCUGAAAGGAUCCGGGACUCACAGCUGAGGCAAAAGAAGUAGAAGUAUGGCUCCAUUAAGUCCAAUUCGAACGUCCCUCUGGAAAGCUCGGGUUAUUUCUAACUUGCCAUCAGAGGGAAUCCUCCCACCCCUUUACCUCCCCAGUAAGAUUUAAACACUUUUCUUCUCUCACACCUCGCUUAAACCCUUUAGGAGCGCCGAGAACCUGCACGGAGAGAACGGCGAGCCGGAGCCCACCUGGGAGCCCGGAGCCCUCCGAGCAGAGCGGCCCCGACCCGCCCGCGUAGGGCCGGGUGCGGGCAGCAGCGGGGAACAAAGGGAGCGAUGACCGUAGGGGAUCCUUCCUUAGCGGCCGUGAGCCCUGAGUUGGUGUUAGCCCGGUGCCAGGCACCCCUCGCUCACGCUCCCCCCGCGCCCAGCCGGGAAGCGGCCAAGCUCAGCAAUAAAUCAAUCCGCUGCCACAUCGCUCCCUUCGAUCGAGCAAACACUGCGAUCCAGCCCGGUCACUUCUCCUCCCACCCCACCCGCUCUGAGGCUGACGCUGCUUCACGGGCUGGGGAGACGGACCCGAGGGAGAUGUAUGCUUAAAGAGCCGCUGGAGCGAGCCCCGAGUUCCCGGGGGAGAAGGAAGGUUGGCCCGUGGAGAGGCAGCCGGCAGGUAUUUCAGUGACCGUCCCUUUGAACACGUUCAGUCUCUGCCUUUUCCAUCCGGAAGGUCUUCCUCAGACCAAUCGCGAUUUCUGCCUUGAUUCUUGUGUGUGUUUACGAUCGCUUCGGAGGAGAUGGUUGCCGCAGUGCGUGGCAAGUGCUUCUCCGAGAAAUCCAUCAGCCCUUCUACGGUGACUCCGAGGGAAGGGUGCUGCCAGCACUUUCGCGCAUUCCCAGGUGUUGCGAGGAGGAGAGAAGCAAAGGGCCGGAGCGCUUCAUGGGGG
ensembl:lncRNA